rnacentral:rRNA from 1 species
CACGUAGGGCGCAAGCGUUGUCCGGAAUUACUGGGCGUAAAGGGCGCGUAGGCGGACAGUUUAGUCAGAGGUGAAAGCCCAGGGCUCAACCUUGGAAUUGCCUUUGAUACUGGCUGUCUUGAGUUCGGGAGAGGUGAGUGGAAUGCCGAGUGUAGAGGUGAAAUUCGUAGAUAUUCGGCGGAACACCAGUGGCGAAGGCGACUCACUGGCCCGAUACUGACGCUGAGGCGCGAAAGCGUGGGGAGCAAACAGGG